rnacentral:rRNA from 1 species
UUAAAUUGAAGAGUUUGAUCAUGGCUCAGAUUGAACGCUGGCGGCAGGCCUAACACAUGCAAGUCGAACGGUAACAGGAAGCAGCUUGCUGCUUUGCUGACGAGUGGCGGACGGGUGAGUAAUGUCUGGGAAACUGCCUGAUGGAGGGGGAUAACUACUGGAAACGGUGGCUAAUACCGCAUAACGUCGCAAGACCAAAGAGGGGGACCUUCGGGCCUCUUGCCAUCAGAUGUGCCCAGAUGGGAUUAGCUUGUUGGUGAGGUAACGGCUCACCAAGGCGACGAUCCCUAGCUGGUCUGAGAGGAUGACCAGCCACACUGGAACUGAGACACGGUCCAGACUCCUACGGGAGGCAGCAGUGGGGAAUAUUGCACAAUGGGCGCAAGCCUGAUGCAGCCAUGCCGCGUGUAUGAAGAAGGCCUUCGGGUUGUAAAGUACUUUCAGCGGGGAGGAAGGUGUUGUGGUUAAUAACCGCAGCAAUUGACGUUACCCGCAGAAGAAGCACCGGCUAACUCCGUGCCAGCAGCCGCGGUAAUACGGAGGGUGCAAGCGUUAAUCGGAAUUACUGGGCGUAAAGCGCACGCAGGCGGUCUGUCAAGUCGGAUGUGAAAUCCCCGGGCUCAACCUGGGAACUGCAUUCGAAACUGGCAGGCUUGAGUCUUGUAGAGGGGGGUAGAAUUC